rnacentral:tRNA from 1 species
GGGAAGUUGGCUCAGUGGUAGAGUGUUUGCCUUGCAUGCACAAGGCCCUGGGUUCGAUUCCUCAGUACCA